rnacentral:rRNA from 1 species
CAGCCGCCGCGGUAAAACCAGCACCUCAAGUGGUCAGGAUGAUUAUUGGGCCUAAAGCAUCCGUAGCCGGAUCUGUAAGUUUUCGGUUAAAUCUAUGCGCUCAACGUAUAGGCUGCCGGAAAUACUGCAGAUCUAGGGAGUGGGAGAGGUAGACGGUACUCGGUAGGAAGAGGUAAAAUUCACUAAUCUAUCGAUGACCACCUGUGGCGAAGGCGGUCUACCAGAACACGUCCGACGGUGAGGGAUGAAAGCUGGGGGAGCAAACCGGAUUAGAUACCCGGGUAGUCCCAGCUGUAAACAAUGCAAACUCAAUGAUGCAUCGGGUUGAACCCGGUGCAGUGUUGCAGGGAAGCCGUUAAGUUUGCCGCCUGGGAAGUACGUACGCAAGUAUGAAACUUAAAGGAAUUGGCGGGGGAGCAC